CCUACGGGAGGCAGCAGUGAGGAAUAUUGGUCAAUGGGCGGGAGCCUGAACCAGCCAAGUCGCGUGAGGGAAGAAGGUACUGAGUAUUGUAAACCUCUUUUGCCAGGGGACAAAGGCGGCCACGGGUGGCCGUAAGAGGGUACCUGGAGAAAAAGCAUCGGCUCACUCCGUGCCAGCAGCCGCGGUAAUACGGAGGAUGCGAGCGUUAUCCGGAGUUCUUGGGGUAAAGGGGUGGGCAGGCGGCGUGUAAAGUCAGCGGUAAAAUGGCGGGGCUCAACCCCGGCCGGCCGUUGAAACUGGCGGGCGCGAGUUGGAGAGAAGUAUGCGGAAUUAGUGGUGUAGCGGGGAAAUGCAGAGAUAUCACGAAGAACCCAGAUUGCGAAGGCAGCAUACCGGCUCCACACUGACGCUGAGGCACGAAAGCGUGGGUAUCGAACAGGAUGAGAUACCGCAGUAGUC
rnacentral:rRNA from 1 species